ensembl:miRNA Gm26469 predicted gene, 26469
CAUGUGAGUGUAUAUGUGUGUGUGCAUGUGCCUGUGUAUGUAUGUGUGUGUGCAUGUGUGUGUAUGUACCUGUGUGUGUGCCUGUGCCUGUGUGUAUGUGUGUGUGUGCACAUGUGUAUGU